UAUUAUGAACAACAAACAUGGAGGGUGACGGCGGGCCACAUGCGUUGUACGUUGCAAUGCAGCCGUUCGUUUUACCUACAGUCAUCCAUGACCCAGAUGCCCAGGAAGAUGAGGAAGACGAGACGGGGAUGUCGGACGAGGAGGGUGUGAGAAUGGAGGAGGGGCAGGAGGAGGAAGGGUUUGACUAUGCAGACCCCAACUUUGAGGACUCUGCUGCAUACAGAUACGAUGAUGAGCACAAUAAACCUGUUGACCUUGAUAACUCGGAUGAGGCGUUGCUUGGUGAGAGUGUGGGAUACAUGGACGACAUACCCGCUGGUGAUCUGGAACAGCAGAAUAUUUACAUAGAUGACCACGCUUACGCUGACGUUGAUGACGCAAGGGAAUCAACAACCAGUGAUGUUGUGUUCAUUCAACCACCCCCUGUACAGAUCAGGGGAGACCACACUUACGACAUAUCCCCAAUGCUGCAUGACAAAAAUCUACCGGAGGGAUGGAGUCGGCGUGUGGUGCAGCGACUCAAUGGCAAAUCAGCUGGGAAAUAUGACGUGUACCUUUACAGCCCAUCUGGAAAGAAGAUGAGAUCCAAAACAGAGCUGGCUACGUAUGUGGCGGAGAAGCAGUUGGAACUGGAUGUGGAGGCUUUCGACUUCACGGUACGAGGAAAGCACCACAGUACCAACCAGGGUAGUGUCACGAGGAAAGGCCAGAGGAAAAACAAGGCAGAGAAAAGGGAAAUCAUGAAAUCUCCCAGUGUAAGAUCUCCAGUAAAGACAAAAAUGACACCAAAAUCCUCCACAAAAUCACUAAAAGCAUUGUCAAAACCCCCAAGCAAAGCCAGUAAAACAAAGACAUUAAAAACUGGUAAAUCACAGAAAUCGGACAAACUAGAGAUAAAACAGACAACUAGUGGAAAAGUGAAGGUUUCUCCAAAACUCAGCCGUAAACGGUCUCGAUCUAUGACUAAAAAUGUUUCACCGAAAGAAGAGACAAAAAUACAGCUAAGUAAAACAUCACAACAGUCUGGUAAACGUAAAAACAUUUCACCCAAGAAAACACUGGCACAGAAACUGGUAAUAAAAAUGGCAUUUGGUCCCGGUGUGAAAAGGAAAGGUGACGCAGAGGAGGAAGGUCCUGCAAAGAAACAGAAAAAGAAAGGGAAAGGGAGAGGACGUGGUCCCAAAACAAAAGUGGUGGACGAUAAUGAGGAGGAUUCUGUGACGGAGAAUGGGGGGAAAUUACGUAUUGGGGAUAGUGAUGACAUAAGUAAACUGGAUACGUUCAAUGAAAAAUUAGACUCUCCAACAAUGGACGAUGAGUAUAAUGAUUCGUUCCCAGAUGAGAACAUGAACUCACAACUGUCGCCAAGGUUAAAUCCACACACGAUGGUGCACUCAAACGUUACUCAAUCAAUGUCUAAAGAUUUAACCAAAAAAGAGGUGAGUAAGAAGAAGCCAAAAUCCCAUGGUGAUAAUAUCUUUGACUUGUUUCAAAAUGUUGGUAUGGACAGUAACAAUGUGUGUGACAGCAGUGCCGAGGAGUCAGAAAUCGUGCCAGUGACAUCUGAACCAGUCAAAGUCGAUCCAGCUAAAGUGGCAACAGAACGACGACCUUCACGGCAGCGAAUGCGCAGUAAAAGAUACAGUGCUGACAUCUAUAGUGUUGAUGAACCAAAAGUGCAACGCAACUCAUCGCGAAGACAGUCGUCAACCUUGUCUCCCUCUGUGGCAAAGACUGCGAAACUCAGUACUGAUUUAGACGGUACAGCAGUGUUGGGGGGUUCUGUCAUUAAUGUGGCACCCAGCAGUGUCCAGCUUCCCGGUGGUAUCGCCCUGAGUGACAGUAUGGUCAGUGGUGCUACAGCGCCUGGUUUGGUCAGUGCUGAUAUGGUCAGUGGUGGGGUCAUGGCAGGGGAACUGGUCAGUGGUGUUUAUGUUAUGGCUAGUGUUGUUACGGCCAAUCCUGAUGGAAUAGACAUGUCCCAGGUCGUGACCCCUGCAUACACAUACUGUCUAACAAAUCCUGAGGGAACGAACUUGUACGCCACAUCAGAUAAUGUUGAGGCUAACCCUUCAGUGUCCGCCGAUGAUGCUAUUCAAGAUGAAAUAGAUACAAAAGACAAUGAAAGUAAAGUUGAUACUAAUACUAACGCUGAUACAACUCCAGAAAUUUCCGAGAACAUUUCUGAUGAAGUAGAAGAAAGAAGUUUGUGUCCUUCAAAAUCAUCCCCUAUCAAACCACCUAUUAGGAGUUCACCUGUUAAAUCUUCACCUUUCAAAAGCUCACCUGUAAAAAUCACUUCUGCAAAAUAUUCACCUGUAAAAAUGUCCUCAAAGACUAACAACAAAUCCAAUGUGGCAUCAGGAGAUACCAAAGGGAAGUUCUGUGCUUCUGCUGUUGAAAAUUUGGACGAUUUAUUUACAUUUAUUAAGAAUGUUCCAGCAUCGCCACGGCAUCAGAGGAGAGCCAGUAACGAGGAAGGUCCCAAGUUUUCACCACUUUUAUCUAGUCCUGAAAGGUCAAGGUCACGGAGUGUGUCCUUGUCAGCUACAUCCCCUCAGCUUGCCAGUGAAGAAAUUAGUCAUGUGGAAGAUAUCCCAUCUGACUCCGAAGAGGCAGAAUUUACACCCACAAGACGGUUGUCAGCCGAGACAGAGAGUAAAUACUUUGCCCAUGGGAAGUUUCUUCCUCGCCCUGAACUCCAUAGGGAUACAACUUGGGUCCCUCCAAAGUCUCCUUUCUGCCUGAUACAGGAAAGUCUGUACCACGACCCCUGGAAGCUCCUCAUAGGGACCAUUUUCCUGAAUAGGACCACAGGCAAGGCAGCUAUCCCUCUUCUAUGGAAAUUUUUCAACAAAUGGCCGAACCCAGACGCAGCGAGGAAAGCAGACGCUGCAGCCAUUGCCAAACUUCUUACUCCACUUGGUCUGCAUGAAAAACGAGCAAAGAUCAUCAUCAGGUUUUCUGAUGAGUAUCUCACUAAGGACUGGAGCUAUCCCGAGGAACUUCAUGGAAUUGGGAAAUAUGGAAACGAUUCCUAUCGGAUGUUUUGUGUCAAUGAAUGGAAAAGGGUUGAUCCAAAGGACCACAAGCUGAAUGACUAUCACACCUGGUUAUGGGGGAACCAUAAGCAGCUUGGCAUUGACUGAAGAGGUCUAACGGGACAGGGGAAUUUUUUAAUAGAGCAUUUGAGUUCUUAGAGGCAACAGAUCAGACCACUCCUCAUCAUAGAGCUUAAACUUGAGUUACUCUUGCUUACGUUCUCUGCACCCCUGAAAUAUGUCAUGAUGAAAUCAAAGGCUCUGUAAGCACCACCUGGUGGAGGAUACAAGAAGAUUAGUUAUAUCCUUUGAUGUACAUCAAAAGAAUGGUGCAGCAUGGCAGCAUAACAGUCAAAUUAACCAGCUUUGAAGUUGGAUGUUAAGUCUGUAUUCUUCAAAGGAGAUAUCAGCCUAGAGAUUGGUCAGGGUUUUGUUUUUACCUGAAAUCAAUCAAAUAGCUACCUGUGUGCCUUCAAUUUUUCCAUGGUAUAUCCCAGUGGUGCAGAACUCAUGCAGUGAACAUAAGUGCGUAGAACCCCUGGAUUCCAAGGAUGGAAAACUCAUUAGGAUACGAUUUAUGUGGAUCUAUUAGUGAUUAUUGCUUUGUAAACAAAUUUAUCAUUCUGAAAUUAUGAUUAUUUGUUUUAAACCUGUUAAAAUGUCUCUCACAGGACAGGUUUCAUAACGUUACAUUAGUUGAUAUUUCAAUCAACUGGAUCAAGUUUUUAGAAAGUAAUAAAAUCUUUUAGCUGAAUGUCAUGUAAAGGACAUGCAUGUUUAAAGUGAUAAUUAUUUCAUAAAUGCAAAACUGUGCUAAGCAAACUUCUGACAUUUGGCUUCUUUACAUGUAGGAAAUUGAUUUUUUUUUAAAACUGCUCUGACUGUGGAUAUGGACCUGGUUGAUUGAAUAGACUGUUAAAAGUGAAACAUGAAAAUGCAAGCUCGACCAAACCCAUUUGUUCAAGGAGUGAGAAGCAUAUCAAGUAGUUAACACAUCUAAUGCCAGGAUUUGUUUAAUAAAUUAACAUUACAAUCUCAAUCUGUACAUGUAUAUAAAAAUCAAAAUGUUUUCUUAAAAUCAUAUGUUUAGAAGUUUUUCAAAAUCCUGUUCGUGUAUAAGAUUGCUUUUUAGACGUUUUACUGGAAAAUUGAAUUCAUAAAAAAAACGUAUUUACAAAUUUGAAUAUUUUGUAACAAUAAAUGGAAAUACUGAAAUAAAUGUUAAGACUGAAUACAAUAUAAAUAUUUGUAAAUUCCAAUCACGUGCCCACAAUGGUAAUUCAUUAGUGUAAGGGAGACAACUGUUCUUAUCAUAUUUUUUGGAGUUUCAUUGGAGUAAAUUAUAUGACAAUUGACUUUUUUUAGGGAGAGUAGAAUAAAAGUUUUUGGCAUUACAAAUACAACCUGAGAGAUUUCCAUCACUUUUACUGAAGUAUAAAAUAUUCAUAAUUAAUAAUAAAUACCAUUUGAAGUCAAUUUUGAACUUUUACAAUCGAGUGAUGAUUAUAUUUACAUCGUUGAAUGUAAGCAAAUAUAAUAUCCACAUCAGACACAGUGUGAAUGUCCUGUUUUUAAAAUGAUAAUAAUUUAAUGAAGAUUAGUUAUAGAAUAAACCACCUUUGUUGCCAUAUGUAUGUUUGUUCCUUUAUUAUAUUAAUUUUGUUCCUAAUGAACAAAAAAAUCUGAUCAGUGUUACGAUGUAGAUGUCUUUGUCCGUCCAUGUCUAUAGUGUGCAAUUCUUGAUUUGUUAAUUUAAUGAAUUUAAUAUUCAAACAAUUCAUGGAGUAGUUUUAAACAAUACUUUUCAAAAUUUCUUCAAGAAACUAGUGUUUCUUUGACUUAAAAUCAUCAUUGUGAACUUAUGUUAAUUAUAGAUUUAGAAUAUUUUUCAAAAUACCUUAAAGUUUUGUUUAUGUUAUUUUGAGUUAGAUUUCGAGUGACUAACCACACCAUUUACUUGAACUUGUGGUUAUUCAUUCAUUUUUAAAAAGUUAAUUUUUGGCAUCAUGAAAUGUUCAGUUAAUAUAUUUGAAAAGUAGUUUUCUUAAUUUCAAAAUCAUUUCUAUUUCUUCCGAUUUCUCAUGGCUUUUACUUUCAAUGAAUACUGAAGUCUGAGCAAUAAUGGAAGGUUUUAAAACUUUUUUGUUUUGAUUUAUGAAAAUAUUUUAUUUCACAUUUUAUUUGUAAAAAAUUCUACAUAAUU